UACUUUUAAUGGCAGGCCUGGAUUUUGGCAGUGUGAAUGAAUGAGUUAUAGACGGUGUAUGUCUUCUAUGUGUGAGUAACGUGGCAUUUUUUGCGUUGUGUGUGUGAGAUUCAGUUUACACUAGACCUUGUCACGGGUCGAAGUUCGAUGGACCCAAAUGCAGACUUGAACAACAGAGUGGUGAAACUCCCGUAGGAGAUAUUUAAUGCAGAAGUACACAAUACAGCAGGCAGUCUUGUAGUCAGUUUGUGCAAAGAUCAAAACCAGAAAAAUCCACCAGGGAAAAAAGUAUUAAAUCAGAAGGCAAAAUCAAAGUCGAUAAACAGGCGAAGGUCAGAACAGGAAAUCAGCAAAACAGAGACAGCAGGCAAAAAUCGGUGGGCGGGAAAACAGGCAAGAUCAAAACACGAGUCAAACUAACGAGAGGGUAAACACUAGAAAGGCACUGUAAACAGAGGCACAAUCUGGCAAGGAAGAACAGGGAAACAGAGAAUAUAUACCAAGUGAACCAGGUGAGUGAAAUGAGAGAUAAUUGAACAGAGCGCGAACGUGCGAACAGGGAACAGGUGAAUGAAAUGAGUGAUUAGCCAGUGCAUGAGAAUGCGUCCAGAACAGGUGAGAGUGAUCAGCUGAGGGGAGAGAGCGAGAAAGAGAAAACCACGCCCAUACUACAAGUCGAAACAAAGAUUGUGCAGGAGAAAAGCAGAUAGGCAACUAAAAGUGACAUCAGAAACAUAACAGAGCUGAUAUUCCAAUAACCUGCUCAAGGUGCCGUUUUAAUACUGUCUAUCUCCCAGCUCUUGUGUCUUUCUGAAGAUGUUUUAGAUCUGUAGGCUCCUUGCCUCACUUCCUGUUCUAAUGACUGUAAUGAUCACGCUUUUCAGUGCCAGUCAUGAGAGGCAGAACUGAAAAGCACUUAAUUCAGUAAAAAAAAAAAAAGAUCACAUGGUCUCAAGUGGUAGACUGGGAAAUUUUAAGAUGGCUCGAAUGGCCAAAGAACUUCCUGAGAAAAAAUUUGAACUGCAGCAGAGAUCAGCUGCUCCCGUGAGAGCCGUGGGAAUCCCUCUCCCAGCGUGGAGUUUGCUUGCAGUCACCAGGCGCUCAGUCAACCAGCAGGUGUCGCUAUAUAGCGAUGACUGCUGAUCCCUGACUGACUGAGCCAUCCCAUGCCCUGGGAGUGCAGUCACCAGGCGCUCAGUCAACCAGCAGGUGUCGCUAUAUAGUGAUGACUGACUGAUCCCUGACUGACUGAGCCAUCCCAUGCCCUGGGAGUGCAGUCACCAGGCGCUCAGUCAACCAGCAGGUGUCGCUAUAUAGUGAUGACUGACUGAGCCAUCCCAUGCCCUGGGAGUCGUAAUCACCAGCUACGUGUCGUUUUGUGGAGCUAACGGCCACGUUCGGCAACAGGACACUCCGGAAUUGAUCCAAGACCAUGAGGCUCAUCCACGCACCACAUCGUGGCACCAUAACCAAGUAAAGCGCAAGUAAAGCUGCCAGAGUGCUCAAUGGCAAAUAGCACUUUGGCCGCCUUACUUGCACUGCCCCUGCACAUUUUCACACUUGCACAUUUGUACUGCACUGGCUCAGUGAUUUAAUUGUGUUGAUGUUGUCAUGAUGUUGUCCUUUUGUAUUCUGUCUUUAUGUGAACCCUGGCUGCAAAACAAAUUCUCCCUAGUGGGACAAUAAAGAUAACCUUGAACCUCGAACCUUGAUAACCGAAUGAGCCAUCCAGUAGCUGAGGACAUCCUUUUAAAAUGAACUCAAUGCUGAUAAAAUAUACAUAUGUUGUGUAGUUUUUCCAGUGAAUUAUUCAUUUUGAUUCCAUUAGCAGUUUUGUUCAACUGAAAACUCAGUUCUAAUUUUCAUGGAUGUAGCCAGUCAGCUGACAUCAGCUGUGAUAGAGACAGACAUGAUUAUUCAAAUAAUAACAAUUAUUAUGCAUCGAGUAAAAUAUCAUUAAAAUUAGUUCAGUUCCUGGUUGUAGCCUUCAGAGCAGCAUGUUCAAUAGGAUUCAGGUCCCGUGAAUGACUAGCCAAGAACAUUCCGCGUUUUGGCCCUGAAAAUAUCUUUCAUUUGUAAGGCCCUGCAGGGAGCUGUAGUGGAAGGCCGGUAUUUUCCAUUCCGGUGGCUCCACCCCCUUCCAAUUGCCAGCUCCGCCCCCUUGUUAAACCCACCUGAAAACCAUUCUGCCUAAUGAAGCUCAGUAUAAGUAGGAGCCCAUACAGCUGUGAAGGUGUGGGAGUUUGGAGUUUUAUUUGCAAAAAGACUGUGUGAGUGCUACAGAGAUUGUGUUGGAACCUGUGAAUGACCUGUUUUCUGUCUGAGUGCCCGAUUACCUUUUGACCCAUUUUUCUGUGUGAGGAACUGAACUGUGUACCGAACUGUGCUUGUUUUUUUGACCACUCUUUUGUCACCAUUUGUCUUGUCGGUAAGCAGCUUAGCUGCCCGACUUUAGCCAGGGCCCAAAAGACCCAUAUAGUUAGGCUCGCUUGGAGCUAGCCUUUUUGUUUGUAUUUUGUUUGUUUUCUGUUUUCAAAAUAAAAGUCCCGGUUAUGUUGACCGGGACAACCAAA